GCAGGCCGCACACGCGCCGGACCGGGUACCGCUGUGCCCGGCCUGGCCGCGGCCUAGUCCCGGCAGACGGGACUGACGAGGUCACCAAGCCCAGGCCGAGACGGCGCGGGUGUCAGGGACUUGGGAAUCCCCCUCCCCCAGUCCCGAUCCCGCUUUCCUUUGGGGUUUCACCUCAGAGGACCCGACAGCACUCUUGCAGUUUCCUCAUCCUCAAGAUGGACUGCACCUUCUGGCAUCUCAAGUGGUUCUUGUGAAGAUUAAAUGAAUCCAUCAGGCCGGGUGCGGUGGCUCACGCCUGUAAUCCCAGCACUUUGGGAGGCCGAGACGAGCGCAUCACCUGAGGUCAGGAGUUCCAGACCAGCCUGGCCAACAAGGUGAAACCCCAUCUCUACUAAAAAUACAAAAAGUUAGCCAGGUGUGGUGGCUCAUGCUUGUAGUCCCAGCUACGUGGGAGGCUGAGGCAGGCGAAUCACUUGAACCCAGGAGGCGGAGGUUGCAGUGAGCCAAGAUUGUGCCAUUGCACUCCAGCCUGGGGGAUAGAGUGAGACUCCAUCUCAAAAAAAAUAAAUAAAUAAAUAAAUAAAUGGAUCAAUCAGUUUAAAAACUUAGAACAGUGCGUGGCAAAUAGUGCUCAAGAAGAGUAGGCUUGUGAAACAUUCACAUGCAUUGUUUUAACAAACAAUGCUUCCCCAGACCUCCCCACAGAGUUGACGCUCUGGAAAGAAAAGCCAGGCUUUUCUCUGAGGUUUUGCAUCUCCUUGGCCAAUGUGCUCAUGCCAGAGAAGAGCAGUGCAUGGCCAGUUUGAGGAGCACGGCCAUGUGACCUUGGACAGCCCCUGCCUCUCUCUAGGACUCACUCCCGGUCCCUAACCUCAGCUCUCUGAUCUGUACCACAAGGAGCUGCCACUAACACCUGUGUCAGAACUACUGUAAGGACCCUUUCCUCCUGCGAGAGGAGAACAGUGCUAAACCUGUCUGAACGUGAUAGACAUGCUACAAACUGCCAACCCUUUAGGCUAUAAACUGCUCACACAUGGGCCAAGUGUCACUCUCAUAAGAAGGUGUGAUUUUUUUUAAGCUGCCAGCAGCCUUGAAGCCACCUGGGACUGCACAGUAUGUCUGUGUGUGCCUUGAUCGCAUCACCCCCUGGACCUC
rnacentral:lncRNA from 1 species